GAUGAACGCUGGCGGCGUGCCUAAUACAUGCAAGUCGAGCGAACGGACGAGAAGCUUGCUUCUCUGAUGUUAGCGGCGGACGGGUGAGUAACACGUGGAUAACCUACCUAUAAGACUGGGAUAACUUCGGGAAACCGGAGCUAAUACCGGAUAAUAUUUUGAACCGCAUGGUUCAAAAGUGAAAGACGGUCUUGCUGUCACUUAUAGAUGGAUCCGCGCUGCAUUAGCUAGUUGGUACGGUAACGGCUUACCAAGGCAACGAUGCAUAGCCGACCGGAGAGGGUGAUCGGCCACACUGGAACUGAGACACGGUCCAGACGCCUACGGGAGGCAGCAGUAGGGAAUCUGCCGCAAUGGGCGAAAGCCUGACGGAGCAACGCCGCGUGAGUGAUGAAGGUCUUCGGAUCGGAAAACUCUGUUAUUAGGGAAGAACAUAUGUGUAAGUAACUGUGCACAUCUUGACGGUACCUAAUCAGAAAGCCACGGCUAACUACGUG
rnacentral:rRNA from 1 species